CUACGGGUGGCAGCAGUGAGGAAUAUUGCACAAUGGGGGGGACCCUGAUGCAGCAACGCCGCGUGGAGGAUGACGCAUUUCGGUGUGUAAACUCCUUUUAUAUGUCAAGAAAAUGACGGUAGCAUAUGAAUAAGCACCGGCUAACCCCGUGCCAGCAGCCGCGGUAAUACGGAGGGUGCAAGCGUUACUCGGAAUCACUGGGCGUAAAGGACGCGUAGGCGGGUUGGAAAGUCAGGUGUGAAAUCCUACAGCUUAACUGUAGAACUGCACUUGAAACUUCUAAUCUAGAGUAUGGGAGGGGGAGAUGGAAUUAGUGGUGUAGGGGUAAAAUCCGUAGAUAUCACUAGGAAUACCUAAAGCGAAGGCGAUCUCCUGGAACAUUACUGACGCUAAGGCGUGAAAGCGUGGGGAGCAAACAGGAUUAGAUACCCUCGUAGUC
rnacentral:rRNA from 1 species